rnacentral:sRNA from 1 species
AGCAACACAAUGGGGCGGUACCGCGAUGCGC